UUACAAAAAGACAAAUAAUCCCUGUAUUUUCUACCUCAUAGUAAGAUUUAGGAUGGAAUGAACAAAUAGACCGUGGAACAUUCUCGAGAGACAAUGAGUGUGGUGAGGAGUCUGAUCAUCACUGUGCUUAUGCUCAGAGGGAGUGGCCUUAUGAAGGCACAAGAAAGAUGGUGGAAGAGGAAACAUUCCUCCUACAAAAAAGAAUUCAAAGCGCAGCUGAAUGGAGGGCUCCACCCCAUAUCCUCCUCACCUUAAGAACAAGGAUAAUAGAAGAGCUCUCAUUUGGAAUACAGACACUCAUGAUGGCAAGAGAAAAAGACUUCUGGGGAGGUCUUACACCCACAAGGAAAUGCUCCCGUGAGGAAGUGAUGCAUGUUACUUCUGUUUGAAGUUCACUGGCUAGAAUUAGCCACAUGAUCCCACCCAAUCACAAGGAGGACAGCAAUCAUCUACAGCAUUUGUGAAAGAUGGAAAGGGAGGAAUAUUUGGUAAGCAUCGGUAAAACUAUCACAACCUGCCUACAAGACCAUCCAUCAAAUAUUUAACAGGUACUUCUUAAGCAACCAAUACCAAGUGAG